rnacentral:sRNA from 1 species
UAUUAUUUAAUAUUACUUUUAAAUUUGGAACGGUAUCGCGUAAACGUUUUGCCAGGGCUGAAAUUCAAUAUAAAAUAUGCUAUUUUACCCAGGGGUUAAACUUUUAAUUUUAUUAUUAUACUUUCUAACUGGAAUUAAUUAUUUUGGAAAUAUUAUUCGGCGUGGGUAGUUUGUUAUUUUACAAUAUUAUUGUCCAAUAUAAAGUUUUGUUAAUUGUUUUUUUCCGCCAUAAAAAGUAUUAAAUGCGGGAUAAGCUUUGCGCCCGCAUGGUUUGGACCAGUAAAUAUAAAAUAAUCUAAUCCAAGUUAUUUUAUUAAUAAUUUGAAUUCGGUCAUUCGUAUUUUAUUAUAAUAAUAUAUUAUUUUUACCGGCGUUUCCGGUUCAUAUACUAUUACCCGCGGAUAUUCUCUUACUAUAUACAUUUCUCCUAACGUUUAUUUUACUAUUAUUUAUAAAUAAUUUAAUUAACCUUUUUAAAUAUAUUAUUCCUGCAAUUUCUUUCUCUUAUUUCUUCUUAUUGCGUUUCGGCUACUAUUUCCUAAAUUAAACCUAAUUACUUCAAAAUCUAAAACACAAGUUUUAACGUUGUUGAUAAUUUUAUUUUAUUAUCCCAUUUUAUAUUAAUUAAGGUUUUUCCGCAAACUCCACUUCGGCUAGAAAUUCGGGUAUUGGUCGAACUUGCAAUAAACGUUUUUUAUAAUAUUUGCAAUAUAUUAACAAUAAUACGGAUGGUUUAUUUUCAUACGCCACGUUUUGUAAUUUUAUUAUUAACGCUACGUUAGUUCUUAUUAAAGUACGUAAAAUAUCUCUUUUACAAAAGUUUGGUCCGUUUAUUUUUAAUAUUGGUCUAAUUAUAUUUAUAUUGCAGUUGGUCUAAUAAUUAUAUCAAGUUUUAUUUGAUAAAUUACGGAAACCGGCCCCGCGUUAAAUCCUUUUUAUACUUGGUAUAGUAAAAUUCCCGACUUUUAAUACCGUUUACUAUUAUUUAUUUCGGUUGGUAUUUUUAUAAAAUUUGUUCUUUUGUAUCGGGUACUGCAACUUCUAAUAGUAGUUGUUAUAUUAUAUUAGCGCAAUACCUAAUUUUGUUUUUCCCGCCAGUUUUCACCAACUCGGAAAUUAUUCGUAUUGAAAAUUGCAUUUCCGUUUGGGAAAAUGCGUUCGAGACCCGCAUAAAUCCGGUUUCUAAUAAUAUACUAUCCCCUAUUAAAAAACCCCAUAAUUUUCAAUUGCAAAUAAUAUUAAAAAAAACAAAAUGGCGGUAGGAUUAAAAUUGGGAACGUUUUUAGUAUACAAAUAUGUAAAUUUAAUAUAAUAAGAUUAUAUUAUUUAUAAUUUAAAUUUCUUUUUUUAUUUUAAUAUUAUUUAUUUUAUUUUUGCGUUAAUUAAUUAUUAUAUUUCCGUCUCAAAUUCCUACUCCCGUAUUAUUAAAAAGAUUUUAUUAUUUUCUGUAAUCUUUUUAUAUUCUUUUCCAAACGCUUUAAUAUUUUAACAUUGGGUAUUAUUCUUACGAAUUUUUUAAUCGGACUUAUAUAUCUUUCGUCCAAUAUUCUAUUGGUUCAAUAACAAAUUUUCGGCGCUUUUAAAUACAAAUUAUAUUUGUUUUUCAAAUUUGUACUUUCUUUUAUAAUAGUUAAAAUAAUUGAAAGUUGUAAAUUUGCUGGCCUGGGUACGGGAUCUCAAUUAAAUGCUUUCCAUUUAUUUUAUAAAAACUAUUUAUUAUAUAUAUUUAUAAAUAUCUGGUAAUUUUACAUAUUUCAAAUUACACGGGCUAUAUAAUUAUUCGUUUGUUAAAUUAGUAAUACUAUUUUAAUAAUUGCUGGUUGCUAAAUUGCAAUUAUAAAGAAAAGAUUACAUUUUUAUACCACGAAAAUCUUUUAAUUUUAUAAUAUUACAAAUUUCUAAACUAAACGUUAAUUAUAACACAAAUAAACAUUUAUUUAAAUUAUUCUAAUUGUGGCUAAUUUACGUUUCAAACAUUAUUUGUACGCUUUUAUUUAUUAGUUUAUUCCGCCGUCUCCUGAUAAAUAAUUUACCCUAUUUAAUAUAUAUUAAAUAUUUAAAAGUUUGUAUAAUUCUGUUGAAAAUCAAAAAUCAAAACCUGCCGUUUUACUUGAAUUAAUAAAGUCAGGCAACCCAUCAAUUUCAUAUUAAGAAUUUAUUAUAUUCUUUGCGCAUAUUUUUUGCGUUUGUUAUUUAAUUAUAUAAAUUCUAAUUUAAUUAUCUUUAUAAUUUAAUAUUCUAUACUAUAAAUAGGAAGAUUA